AAAAAUCCUGCAGCAAAACAAGGCACAGGGCAAAAGGGGCAAAGGAGCACAAAGCAAGGGAGGCAAAAACAACAGCAGCAAGUGCAAAAACACGCUUGCCAUAAUAGGGGGGGGCUACGUUGUUUUUACUUAUUUUUCAUUAUUUAUAUUUUUACUUAUUUACU
rnacentral:ribozyme from 12 species